GCCUGUAGGACAUUAUUCUUUUAGAAGAGAUAUCCUUAAUAUAAUAUUUAUCAAACCAAAAUCCAAGUUAGUUGAUUUGUAAACAUUUCACAUAAGCUCGACACUCUAAAUAUUAAAGUAAAAGAGUAUCGAAUUACCCAAGUCCAUAUCCCAUAUGAAGUUUUUGGUGAUCAAUUUACUCAGAAUGUUCUCGAGCACGUA
rnacentral:lncRNA from 1 species